AGACCUCGCGCAAUUGGAGCGGCCGAUGUCGGAUUAGCUAGUUGGUGGGGUAAAGGCCUACCAAGGCGACGAUCCGUAGCUGGUCUGAGAGGACGACCAGCCACACUGGGACUGAGACACGGCCCAGACUCCUACGGGAGGCAGCAGUGGGGAAUUUUGGACAAUGGACGCAAGUCUGAUCCAGCCAUGCCGCGUGCGGGAAGAAGGCCUUCGGGUUGUAAACCGCUUUUGUCAGGGAAGAAAUCUUCUGGGUUAAUACCUCGGGAGGAUGACGGUACCUGGAAUAAGCACCGGCUAACUACGUGCCAGCAGCCGCGGUAAUACGUAGGGUGCAAGCGUUAAUCGGAAUUACUGGGCGUAAAGCGUGCGCAGGCGGUUAUGCAAGACAGGUGUGAAAUCCCCGAGCUCAACUUGGGAACUGCACUUUGUGACUGCAUAGCUAGAGUACGGUAGAGGGGGAG
rnacentral:rRNA from 1 species